rnacentral:rRNA from 1 species
UAAAGUGGCGUACGGGUGAGUAACACGUGGAUGAUCUGCCUCUUAGUGGGGAAUAACUCUGGGAAACCGGAGCUAAUACCGCAUAAUCCCGGGAGGGGGAAAAGCCGGAAGGCGCUGAGAGAGGAGUCCGCGGCCGAUUAGCUGGUUGGUAGGGUAACGGCCUACCAAGGCGAUGAUCGGUAGCCGGCCUGAGAGGGCACACGGCCACACUGGCACUGAAACACGGGCCAG